rnacentral:rRNA from 1 species
UACGUAGGGGGCAAGCGUUAUCCGGAUUUACUGGGUGUAAAGGGAGCGUAGACGGCAUGGCAAGUCAGAUGUGAAAGCCCGGGGCUCAACCCCGGGACUGCAUUUCAAACUGGAAGUCUAGAGUGCAGGAGAGGAGAAUGGAAUUCCUAGUGUAGCGGUGAAAUGCGUAGAGAUUAGGAAGAACACCAGUGGCGAAGGCGAUUCUCUGGACUGUAACUGACGCUGAGGCUCGAAAGCGUGGGGAGCAAACAGG